rnacentral:rRNA from 1 species
GAUGAACGCUGGCGGCGUGCCUAAUACAUGCAAGUCGAGCGAACAGACGAGGAGCUUGCUCCUCUGACGUUAGCGGCGGACGGGUGAGUAACACGUGGAUAACCUACCUAUAAGACUGGGAUAACUUCGGGAAACCGGAGCUAAUACCGGAUAAUAUAUUGAACCGCAUGGUUCAAUAGUGAAAGACGGUUUUGCUGUCACUCAUAGAUGGAUCCGCGCCGCAUUAGCUAGUUGGUAAGGUAACGGCUUACCAAGGCAACGAUGCGUAGCCGACCUGAGAGGGUGAUCGGCCACACUGGAACUGAGACACGGUCCAGACUCCUACGGGAGGCAGCAGUAGGGAAUCUGCCGCAAUGGGCGAAAGCCUGACGGAGCAACGCCGCGUGAGUGAUGAAGGUCUUCGGAUCGUAAAACUCUGUUAUUAGGGAAGAACAAAUGUGUAAGUAACUAUGCACGUCUUGACGGUACCUAAUCAGAAAGCCACGGCUAACUACGUG